rnacentral:rRNA from 1 species
UACGAAGGGUGCAAGCGUUACUCGGAAUUACUGGGCGUAAAGCGCACGUAGGCGGAUCGUUAAGUCGGGGGUGAAAUCCUGGAGCUCAACUCCAGAACUGCCUUCGAUACUGGCGAUCUUGAGUCCGGAAGAGGGUCGCGGAAUUCCCGGUGUAGAGGUGAAAUUCGUAGAUAUCGGGAGGAACACCAGUGGCGAAGGCGGCGACCUGGGCCAAUAUUGACGCUGAGGUGCGAAAGCGUGGGGAGCAAACAGG